GCACUUCUGAGGAGUUCUAUACCAGGACGAAACGGCCGUCCAGUGC
rfam:Schistosoma margrebowiei strain Zambia genome assembly, scaffold: SMRZ_scaffold0001314